rnacentral:rRNA from 1 species
GGGGGGGGGGGGGGGGGGGGGGGGGGGGGGGGGGUCGGGCGGGGGGGGGGGGAGCGGGCUGCUCUGAUGUUAGCGGCGGGCGGGUGAGUAACACGUGGAUAACCUACCUAUAAGACUGGGAUAACUUCGGGAAACCGGAGCUAAUACCGGAUAAUAUUUUGAACCGCAUGGUUCAAAAGUGAAAGACGGUCUUGCUGUCACUUAUAGAUGGAUCCGCGCUGCAUUAGCUAGUUGGUAAGGUAACGGCUUACCAAGGCGACGAUGCAUAGCCGACCUGAGAGGGUGAUCGGCCACACUGGAACUGAGACACGGUCCAGACUCCUACGGGAGGCAGCAGUAGGGAAUCUUCCGCAAUGGGCGAAAGCCUGACGGAGCAACGCCGCGUGAGUGAUGAAGGUCUUCGGAUCGUAAAACUCUGUUAUUAGGGAAGAACAUAUGUGUAAGUAACUGUGCACAUCUUGACGGUACCUAAUCAGAAAGCCACGGCUAACUACGUG